rnacentral:rRNA from 1 species
UACGUAGGGGGCAAGCGUUGUCCGGAAUCAUUGGGCGUAAAGAGCGUGUAGGCGGUCCGGUAAGUCGGCUGUGAAAGUCCAGGGCUCAACCCUGGGAUGCCGGUCGAUACUGCCGGACUAGAGUUCGGAAGAGGCGAGUGGAAUUCCUGGUGUAGCGGUGGAAUGCGCAGAUAUCAGGAGGAACACCAACGGCGAAGGCAGCUCGCUGGGACGGUACUGACGCUAAGGCGCGAAAGCGUGGGGAGCGAACAGG